rnacentral:rRNA from 2 species
AGAUUAAGUUAUUAAGGGCGCACGGUGGAUGCCUUGGCACUAGAAGCCGAUGAAGGACGUUACUAACGACGAUAUGCUUUGGGGAGCUGUAAGUAAGCUUUGAUCCAGAGAUUUCCGAAUGGGGAAACCCAGCAUGAGUUAUGUCAUGUUAUCGAUAUGUGAAUACAUAGCAUAUCAGAAGGCACACCCGGAGAACUGAAACAUCUUAGUACCCGGAGGAAGAGAAAGAAAAUUCGAUUCCCUUAGUAGCGGCGAGCGAAACGGGAAGAGCCCAAACCAACAAGCUUGCUUGUUGGGGUUGUAGGACACUCUAUACGGAGUUACAAAGGACGACAUUAGACGAAUCAUCUGGAAAGAUGAAUCAAAGAAGGUAAUAAUCCUGUAGUCGAAAAUGUUGUCUCUCUUGAGUGGAUCCUGAGUACGACGGAGCACGUGAAAUUCCGUCGGAAUCUGGGAGGACCAUCUCCUAAGGCUAAAUACUCUCUAGUGACCGAUAGUGAACCAGUACCGUGAGGGAAAGGUGAAAAGCACCCCGGAAGGGGAGUGAAAUAGAACCUGAAACCGUGUGCUUACAAGUAGUCAGAGCCCGUUAAUGGGUGAUGGCGUGCCUUUUGUAGAAUGAACCGGCGAGUUACGAUUUGAUGCAAGGUUAAGCAGUAAAUGUGGAGCCGUAGCGAAAGCGAGUCUGAAUAGGGCGUUUAGUAUUUGGUCGUAGACCCGAAACCAGGUGAUCUACCCUUGGUCAGGUUGAAGUUCAGGUAACACUGAAUGGAGGACCGAACCGACUUACGUUGAAAAGUGAGCGGAUGAACUGAGGGUAGCGGAGAAAUUCCAAUCGAACCUGGAGAUAGCUGGUUCUCUCCGAAAUAGCUUUAGGGCUAGCCUCAAGUGAUGAUUAUUGGAGGUAGAGCACUGUUUGGACGAGGGGCCCCUCUCGGGUUACCGAAUUCAGACAAACUCCGAAUGCCAAUUAAUUUAACUUGGGAGUCAGAACAUGGGUGAUAAGGUCCGUGUUCGAAAGGGAAACAGCCCAGACCACCAGCUAAGGUCCCAAAAUAUAUGUUAAGUGGAAAAGGAUGUGGCGUUGCCCAGACAACUAGGAUGUUGGCUUAGAAGCAGCCAUCAUUUAAAGAGUGCGUAAUAGCUCACUAGUCGAGUGACACUGCGCCGAAAAUGUACCGGGGCUAAACAUAUUACCGAAGCUGUGGAUUGUCCUUUGGACAAUGGUAGGAGAGCGUUCUAAGGGCGUUGAAGCAUGAUCGUAAGGACAUGUGGAGCGCUUAGAAGUGAGAAUGCCGGUGUGAGUAGCGAAAGACGGGUGAGAAUCCCGUCCACCGAUUGACUAAGGUUUCCAGAGGAAGGCUCGUCCGCUCUGGGUUAGUCGGGUCCUAAGCUGAGGCCGACAGGCGUAGGCGAUGGAUAACAGGUUGAUAUUCCUGUACCACCUAUAAUCGUUUUAAUCGAUGGGGGGACGCAGUAGGAUAGGCGAAGCGUGCGAUUGGAUUGCACGUCUAAGCAGUAAGGCUGAGUAUUAGGCAAAUCCGGUACUCGUUAAGGCUGAGCUGUGAUGGGGAGAAGACAUUGUGUCUUCGAGUCGUUGAUUUCACACUGCCGAGAAAAGCCUCUAGAUAGAAAAUAGGUGCCCGUACCGCAAACCGACACAGGUAGUCAAGAUGAGAAUUCUAAGGUGAGCGAGCGAACUCUCGUUAAGGAACUCGGCAAAAUGACCCCGUAACUUCGGGAGAAGGGGUGCUCUUUAGGGUUAACGCCCAGAAGAGCCGCAGUGAAUAGGCCCAAGCGACUGUUUAUCAAAAACACAGGUCUCUGCUAAACCGUAAGGUGAUGUAUAGGGGCUGACGCCUGCCCGGUGCUGGAAGGUUAAGAGGAGUGGUUAGCUUCUGCGAAGCUACGAAUCGAAGCCCCAGUAAACGGCGGCCGUAACUAUAACGGUCCUAAGGUAGCGAAAUUCCUUGUCGGGUAAGUUCCGACCCGCACGAAAGGCGUAACGAUUUGGGCACUGUCUCAACGAGAGACUCGGUGAAAUCAUAGUACCUGUGAAGAUGCAGGUUACCCGCGACAGGACGGAAAGACCCCGUGGAGCUUUACUGUAGCCUGAUAUUGAAAUUCGGCACAGCUUGUACAGGAUAGGUAGGAGCCUUUGAAACGU